AAGAAGCCGGGCAAGAUCGCUCUCCCCUCCCACGAGUCCACCAUGGGCAGGUUCCUGAUGCAGAUCGGGAUGUUCAAGGACGGCGACGGCAACCUGCUCGUCAACAAGGACGGCCUCCGCAUCACCCCGCAGACCAAGGAAGGCGAGGCUCCUCCUAUAGAGCCGUUAGAUAACCAUCAGUUGAGCAUACAUGAUCUGGAAGCAAUCAAAGUGAUUGGGAACGGUAGUGGAACCGUGCAAUUGGUGCGCCAAAAAUGGACUGGCCAGUUUCUUGCUCUCAAGGUUAUACAACUCAAUAUUCAGGAAAGCAUACGCAAGCAACUUGCCCAGGAGUUGAAAUUAAGUUUGUCAACACAGUGCCAAUAUGUUGUCACAUGCUAUCAGUGUUUCUAUGUCAAUGGUGUUAUUUCUAUUGCUUUGGAGUAUAUGGAUGGAGGCUCUCUGGCUGAUUUCCUGAUGACUGCUAGAACCGUUCCAGAGGCCUACCUUGCUGCAAUUUGUAAGCAGGUGUUGAAAGGACUGAUGAACUUGCAUCAUGAGAAGCGCGUUAUACACCGAGAUCUGAAACCAUCGAAUAUAUUAAUAAAUCAUAGGGGUGAAGUAAAGAUAUCAGAUUUUGUUGUUAGUGCCAUCAUUUCUAGUUCUUCUGCAAAGCGAGAUACAUUUACUGGCACAUUUAACUACAUGGCGCCAGAAAGAAUCAGCGGGCAGAAACAUGGUUAUAUGAGUGAUAUAUGGAGCUUGGGCCUAGUCAUGCUGGAAUGUGCCACUGGCAAUUUCCCAUAUCCUCCUCGUGAUAGCUUCUAUGAACUUCUUGAAGCUGUUGUCGACCAACCAUCACCUUCUGCACCAUCAGACCAGUUUUCACCAGAGUUCUGUUCAUUCAUUUCUGCGUGUAUGCAAAAAGAGGCUACAAAUAGGUCAUCUGCUCAAAUCCUAUCAGCUCAUCCAUUCCUGAGCAUGUAUGACGACCUGAAUAUUGAUCUUGCUGUCUACUUCAGGACCGCGGGAUCUCCACUUGUCACCUUCAAGUAA
rnacentral:rRNA from 1 species